AUAUCAGUAAGCGGAGGAAAAGAAACUAACUAGGAUUGCCUUAGUAGCGGCGAGUGAACAGGCAAUAGCUCAAAAUGUGAAUCUGUGUUUUUCAAAUACAGAAUUGUAAUCUAAAGAUUUUCGCAGAAGGAUAAACUUUAGCAUAACGCCCUGAAAUGGGUGGUCAUAGAGGGUGAUAACCCCGUAGUUGGCUAAGGUUUACCGUAUGCGGGGAUUCGAAGAGUCGGGUUGUUUGGGACUGCAGCCCUAAAUGGGAGAUAAACUUCUUCUAAGGCUAAAUAUUGAUGUGAGACCGAUAGCGCACAAGUA
rnacentral:rRNA from 1 species